UUGAACUAAAAACCACCUAACCUGGGACCGGCAGUGUGGGCCAUCGUUGGCUCAUAUCCAAAAACAUACACAGAUAACAUCAUUUUGCUAAGAACACUGUUUCCUCGUUGUUUCCUUCACUUUAGCAGAUUGUGUCAGCAAGGCUACACAUUUAGGGGGAAACUGUACAGGAAUGACGUGCAGCACGAAAGCCUUCAGUUUAAAUAUGCAGAAAGCUUGAUGGCAAAUCACCAUGUGGAUUGGGGAUUCAGAGGUAUCUAAAGCCUUGAACAUCUCACAGAGGUCGGCUCAAUCCAUCAUCUGAAAAUUGGAAGAGCAAAGCACAACUGCAAACCUAUCAAGACAUGCCCGUCCCCCUGAAUUGAUAUUCAAAGAGAGCAUCUAUUUAAAGAAGCAACCAAGAAAACCACAGUAACGGGGGAGAUGAAGAGAUCCACAACUUCCAUAGUUGAUCUGGUCUUUAUGGAAAAGUUAGAAGGAAAGCAGUAAGAAAUCAUGUUUGCAGUUUGCCAAAACACAGCAACCAUGUGGAGGAAUGUGCUCUGGUGAGAAGAUACCAAAAUUAAACUUUUCACCCUUCAUACAAAAUGCUGUAAUACUGAAUAUAACCCUGAACACAUCAUCCCUAUGGUGGUACAUGGUGGUGGUAAUAUCAUGAAGUGUUCUUUAAAAUUAGAUUGUUGUUUAAAUGAAAACAAGGGAUCCUUUUCAUUUCACACUUGUGUGCAACUUUAUCUGUAUAUAUCCCAUAAAAUCCAAAUGAAAUAUA